rnacentral:rRNA from 1 species
UGGAGGACCGAACCAGGACACGUUGAAAAGUGUUUGGAUGAGCUGUGGGUAGCGGAGAAAUUCCAAUCGAACUUGGAAAUAGCUGGUUCUCUCCGAAAUAGCUUUAGGGCUAGCCUCGUUGUGAGUUUACUGGAGGUAGAGCACUGUUUGGACUAGGGGCCCAUCCCGGGUUACCGAAUUCAGACAAACUCCGAAUGCCAGAUAAAUAUCAACGGGAGUCAGACUGCGGGUGAUAAGGUUCGUAGUCGAAAGGGAAACAGCCCAGACCGCCAGCUAAGGUCCCAAAUUGUAUGUUAAGUGGAAAAGGAUGUGAUGAUGCACAGACAACCAGGAUGUUGGCUUAGAAGCAGCCACCAUUUAAAGAGUGCGUAAUAGCUCACUGGUCGAGAGACCCUGCGCCGAAGAUUACCGGGGCUAAAGUACGAAACCGAAGCUGUGGCUACGACGUAAGUCGUGGGGUAGGGGAGCGUUCUGUGAGGGCUGAAGUCGUUCUGUAAGGAACGGUGGACUUCACAGAAGUGAGAAUGUUGGUAUGAGUAGCGAAAAGAAUGGUGAGAAUCCAUUCCACCGAAAGCAUAAGGAUUCCUGGGCAACGAUCGUCGUCCCAGGGUAAGUCGGGACCUAAUCCGAGGCAUGGAGCGUAGGAGAUGGACAACUGGCAGAUAUUCCAGUACCGGUAAUGAUUGUUUGAGCGAUGGAGUGACACAGGAGGGCAGGCAGGCAGGAGAUUGGUUGUUCCUGUACAAGCGUGUAGGAUGGGUUGUAGGCAAAUCCGCAACCUGUGAGUCUGAGGCGUGAUGUGGAGGUUCCGGAAACGGAACUGAAGCUGCUGACCCCACACUGUCGAGAAAAGCUUCUAGUUAGAGAAUUACCGCCCGUACCGUAAACCGACACAGGUAUGCGGGGAGAGAAUCCUAAGGUGCGCGGGAGAACCCUCGUUAAGGAACUCGGCAAAAUGUACCCGUAACUUCGGGAUAAGGGUAGCCGCUGUUGUGAAGUCUGAACAGACGGAGCAUGAGGCGGUCGCAGAGAAGAGGCCCAAGCGACUGUUUACCACAAACAAAGGUGCCUGCUAAAGAGAAAUCUGACGUAUAGGUGCUGACACCUGCCCAGUGCCGGAAGGUUAAGGAAGGAUGUCCGGAGCAAUCCAAAGCAUUCGACCGAAGCCCCGGUGAACGGCGGCCGUAACUAUAACGGUCCUAAGGUAGCGAAAUUCCUUGUCGGGUAAGUUCCGACCCGCACGAAAGGUGUAACGAUUUGGGCACUGUCUCAACAAAGGAUCCGGUGAAAUUGUAGUAGUCGUGAAGAUGCGACUUACCCACGCUAGGACGGAAAGACCCCGUGGAGCUUUACUGU